rnacentral:rRNA from 1 species
AUUGAACGCUGGCGGCAGGCCUAACACAUGCAAGUCGAACGAGUGGCGGACGGGUGAGUAAUGUCUGGGAAACUGCCUGAUGGAGGGGGAUAACUACUGGAAACGGUAGCUAAUACCGCAUACCAUCGGAUGUGCCCAGAUGGGCUUAGCUAGUAGGUGGGGUAAAGGCUCACCUCCGCGUCGAUCCCUAGCUGGUCUGAGAAGAUGACCAUCCAACCUGGAACGUCGACACGGUCCAGACUCCGACGUGAGGCAGCGUGGGGGAAUAUUGCUCAAUGGGAGCAAGCAUGGUGCAGCCAUGCCGCGUGUAUGAAGAAGGCCUACGGGUUGGAGAGUACUUUCAGCGGGGAGGCGUUGCCCGCAGAAGAAGCACCGGCUAACUCCGUGCCAGCCACCGCGGUAAUUC